rnacentral:rRNA from 1 species
UACGAGAGGCACAAGCGUUGCCCGGAUUUACUGGGCGUAAAGUGUUCCGUAGGCGCUUUUGUAAGUUUUCUUUUAAAGCCUGGGGCUCAACCCCAGAUCGGGAGAAAAUACUGCAAGAGUUGAAUAAUUCUGGGGCUACUGGAACUAUCGGUGUAGGAGUGAAAUCCGUUGAUAUCGAUAGGAACUCCAAGGGCGAAGGCAGGUAGCUAAGAAUUUAUUGACGCUGAGGGACGACAGCUAGGGGAGAGAAAGGG